rnacentral:rRNA from 1 species
AGUGAACGCUGGCGGCAGGCCUAACACAUGCAAGUCGAACGGCAGCACAGUAAGAGCUUGCUCUUACGGGUGGCGAGUGGCGGACGGGUGAGGAAUACAUCGGAAUCUACUUUUUCGUGGGGGAUAACGUAGGGAAACUUACGCUAAUACCGCAUACGACCUACGGGUGAAAGCAGGGGAUCUUCGGACCUUGCGCGAUUGAAUGAGCCGAUGUCGGAUUAGCUAGUUGGCGGGGUAAAGGCCCACCAAGGCGACGAUCCGUAGCUGGUCUGAGAGGAUGAUCGCCCACACUAGAACUGAGACACGGUCCAGACUCCUACGGGAGGCAGCAGUGUGGAAUAUUGGACAAUGGGCGCAAGCCUGAUCCAGGCAUACCGCGUGGGUGAAGAAGGCUUUCGGGUUGUAAAGCCCUUUUGUGGGGAAAGAAAAGCAGCAGGUUAAUACCGCGCUGUUCUGACGGUACCCAAAGAAUAAGCACCGGCUAACUUCGUG